rnacentral:rRNA from 1 species
GUACGAUCGCAAGAUUAAAACUCAAAGGAAUUGACGGGGCCCCGCACAAGCAGCGGAGCAUGCGGCUUAAUUCGACGCAACGCGAAGAACCUUACCAAGGCUUGACAUAUAGCGAAAAGUGGCAGAGAUGUCAUGUCCGCAAGGGCGCUAUACAGGUGGUGCAUGGUUGUCGUCAGCUCGUGUCGUGAGAUGUUGGGUUAAGUCCCGCAACGAGCGCAACCCUCGUUCUGUGUUACCAGCAUUUAGUUGGGGACUCACAGGAGACUGCCGGGGUCAACUCGGAGGAAGGUGGGGAUGACGUCAAAUCAUCAUGCCCCUUAUGUCUUGGGCUGCACGCAUGCUACAAUGGCCGGUACAAAGUGCUGCGAGAUCGUAAGAUUGAGCGAAUCACAUAAAGCCGGUCUCAGUUCGGAUUGAGGUCUGCAACUCGACCUCAUGAAGUCGGAGUUGCUAGUAAUCGUAGAUCAGCAACGCUACGGUGAAUACGUUCCCGGGGCUUGUACACACCGCCCGUCACGUCACGAAAGUCGGUAACACCCAAAGUUAGUGGCCCAACCGCAAGGGGGGAGCUUACCUAAGGUGGGAUCGGUGAUUGGGACG